UUUCUGUUCCCAGUGGUCUGAUACUGAAUCCACCUGCACAAGUGAAGCUCCAUAAGAACACGUUAGGGUUCUUUAUCGCUGAAUCCGCAAAGGAUGUCAAAAGAGCCUUCUUUUACUGUGCCAUCUGUCACAGUGAUGUGUAUACUCCAGAGCUAAUUGGAAAGUGUGGCUGCAAAAACAAGAAUCUUCGACACAUGACAGGGCCAGCGGUCACGGUGACAGCAAACAACCUGAAGAACUACCCUGGCGCAAUGAGAC